GACGAACGCUGGCGGCGUGCCUAAUACAUGCAAGUAGAACGCUGAAGGAGGAGCUUGCUUCUCCGGAUGAGUUGCGAACGGGUGAGUAACGCGUAGGUAACCUGCCUGGUAGCGGGGGAUAACUAUUGGAAACGAUAGCUAAUACCGCAUAACAGUAGAUAUCGCAUGAUAUCUGCUUGAAAGGUGCAAUUGCAUCACUACCAGAUGGACCUGCGUUGUAUUAGCUAGUUGGUGAGGUAACGGCUCACCAAGGCGACGAUACAUAGCCGACCUGAGAGGGUGAUCGGCCACGCUGGGACUGAGACACGGCCCAGACUCCUACGGGAGGCAGCAGUAGGGAAUCUUCGGCAAUGGACGGAAGUCUGACCGAGCAACGCCGCGUGAGUGAAGAAGGUUUUCGGAUCGUAAAGCUCUGUUGUAAGAGAAGAACGAGUGUGAGAGUGGAAAGUUCACACUGUGACGGUAUCUUACCAGAAAGGGACGGCUAACUACGUG
rnacentral:rRNA from 1 species